rnacentral:lncRNA from 1 species
AUUAUUAUUUGUGCUUCUCUUCUUCCUCCCACCCUCCACCCUCAAGUAGACCCCAGUGUCUUUCAUUCCCCAAAAGCUAACAUUUUAAACCAGCCCAAAAUAUAAUAAUUUUAAUCUGAAGUGGCAUGUGAUUUCUGUUAAUGAUAAAAAAGAUAACAUUUGAAAAGGAGUCCUUUUGAUAACCCAUGUAUUAAGGACUAAAUGUUUGUACCUUCUCCCACCCCCAGAAUCAUAUGUGAAACCCUAACAACCAAUGUGAAUGUAUUUGGAGAUAGGGUCAUAAGCAGAUGGUAGAGUUUAAAUGAGGUCAUAAGGGUGGAGCCCUAAUCUGAUAGAGCUGUUGCACUUUUCAGAAGAGGAAGAGAUACUGGAACGUGUCUCUGUCUGUGUGCAUUCAGAAAGAAGGCCAUGUGAUACAGUUUGGAUGUUGCCUCCAACCAAAUGUCAUGUCAAAAUGUAAUCUUCAGUAUUGGAGGGGAGGCAUGGUGGGGGGAGAUUGGGUCCCCCCACCCAGUGGAGGCAAGUUUCUCAUGAAUGGUUUAGCACCAUCCCCCUUGGUACUGUCUUCACAAUAGUGAGCUCUCAUGAUAUUUGGUCAUUUAAAAGUGUGUAGCACUUCCCCCUUCACGUUCUCUUGCUCCUGCUCUGGCCAUGUGACAUGCCUAUUCCCUCUUCACCUUCUGGCAUGACUGUUAAGUUUCCUGUGGCCUCCCUGGAAGCUGAGCAGAUUCCAUCAUCAUGCUUCCUGUACAGUCUGCAGAACCAUGAGCCAAUUAAGCCUCUUUUCUUUAUAAAUUACCCAGUCUGAGGUACUUCUUUAUAGCACUGCAAGAAUGGACUAAUACGCUAUGUGAAGACAAAGGGGAUGUCUGCAAGCCAGGACGAGUGCGUCUACCAGAAACUGAGUUCUGCUGGACUUUGAUCUAGGACAUCCAGCCUCCAGAAUGGAAUGUGCCAUAUGUGGAGACCUGCAUGGAAAGGAACUGAGGAUGCUCUCUCACUAAAAGCUAGAAGGAACUGAGGCCCUCAGUCAACAGUCUACAAGACACUGAAUCUUGCCAGCAGCCAAGCAGUGAGCUUGAAAGCAGAUCUAUCAUCAGCUGAACCUUCAGAUGAGACCGCAGCCUAAGCAGAUACCUUGGUUGCAGCCAUGUGAGACAACCUGAAACAGAGGGCACAGCUAAGCCUCAGCCAGGUUCAUGACCCUCUGAGGAAACUGUGAGAAAGCAAAUGUCAUUUUAAGCUAUUUAAUUUUGGAGGUAGUUUAUUACACAACAAUAAAUAACUAUUAUAAUUAUCUUGAGGAUUUAUUUCCUGGGGAGAAUACAUGGAAUUGCAUAUAUAGGUCCUCAUAUGCAGAAUACUGGUACCCUAGAGAUGUUCACCCCAGAGAUGUUUUAGGAACCUGUGAAUAUGUUACAUUAAAUGGCAAAGUUUUCCUGGAUGGUUUAAGUUUAAGAUGGAAAAGUUUUACUGGAUUAUCCAGUGGGUCCAAUCUAGUAACAUGAGUCCUUAAAAAUGGAGAAUAUUUUUUGGCCAUGAUCAGAGAGACAUGUGAUGAUGGAAAAAGUGUCAGAGAUGCAAUGUGAGGGGACUAAAACUGCUGUUGCUGACUUUAAAGAUGGAGAGAGGGGAACCCGAGUCAAGGAAUGCAAAUGGCCUCUGGAAGCUGGAAAAAGCAAGAAAUGGAUUCUCCUUUAGAGCCUGUGGAAUAAAAUGCAGUCAUGCUGACACCUUGAUUUUACCUCAGUGAGACCAAUACUGGAGUAUGACCUUCGGAGCUCGCAAAGGCCACAUAAGGACAGUGAGAAGGCAGCCACCUGCAAGCCAGGAAGAAAGGUCUCACCAGAUACCAACCCUGCCAGCAUGUUGAUCUUGGACUUCCAGCCUCCAAAACUGGCCUUCUGCUCACAUGGGCUUCCGUGCACCUGCUUCAGGAGACAGCAACACUUGCGCCCGCACCGCGGCAGGCUCCCAUCACCUGGUGGAUAUGCCGCGCCGAGUCUCAUCACACCUUAGUGAAGGAACACAUGGACCCAUAUGUUAGCGGAUGUAUUUACAUCGUUUUAUACAGAAAGGGGAAGAAAACUGCAUACCUCAGAAAGGGGUUGCUCCUCACUCUGAGUACUAGACUAAAGAUAAAAAGACUAGAUAAAAGUACUAGACUAAAGACAGAGCUGACCCAUGACAGAUGGAGUCUUGCUCUGUCACACAUGCUAGAGUCCAGUGGUAUGACCUCAGCUCACUGCAAUCUCUGCCUCCCGGGUUCAAAUGAUUCUUCUGCCUUGACCUCCCUGGCAGCUGGGACUACAGGCCUGCACCACCACGCCUGGCAAAUUUUUUAAUUUUUUUUAGUAGAGAUGGGGUUUCACCAUGUUGGCCAGGCUAGUCUCGAACUCCUGACCUCAAAUGAUCUGCCCGCUUUGGCCUUCCAAAGUUCUGGGAUUAUAGGAGUGAGCCACCAUGCCCAGCCUGUUCUUAAGUCUCCUAGAACAGGGAUUCUGAAACACAAAACUCAUCUGGCAAAGAGUUCUAAGAUGCAUUUCACAGCACUCCACAGAAGGAAGGUUCAGAGCCAAUCAUCUGCACCAGUGCCCAACUUAAAAACAUCCUUGUAUCAGUUUUCCCUUAUUUCCUGUUCUCCUCCCUAAACCUUCAGUCCUGUUCCUGGCAAUCACUUCCAGAAUAAACCAUAUACAUGCCUCAGAUUCUGAUCUCAGAGGAUCCCAGACUAAUACAGAGAUACACUAUGCUGAUUGCUUAACCCGCAUUUUCUCAUUUAAUUGAAACAUAUACGUGGUAAGGUAUUUAUUCAUACCUGCAUGAUUUUGUAGAUAAACCUUAGAGAAAUUAAUACUUUUCAGAAGGCAAUUAAAGUAACACAGCAAGCAAUUGAUAAAACCUGGAUUCGCCAAGUUAAACUGGUCUGGUUUCAAAACCUGUAUUGUUUCCUAACAUACCACCUAAAUUCUCAAAUGGUAUUGGAAGGGGUUAAAUGAGAUUAUAAAUGUAAAAUUCUUGGUAUAGUUAAUUCUCAAAAAUAGGCCUUCAAUCUAUAGAAUCCAUUUGUAGAACUAUCUUCAGGAAGGAAAAAUACAUCACCCUCCACCCCACCCUCAAAGAAACAUGGAAAAUUUAAACUAAGACUUCAAAUCUUGAGCUCUGCACAUCUUAGAAUAUUUUGUUUCUAUGAAAAAGAAGCUUUGGAGAAUGUGUAUCAGUCUGAAACACUGUAGUGUGAGCACAGAAAUCAGCCCAUCACAUUAUGCCCCAAAUGCUGAAGUACGGCUGAAUCUGAUUGCCCUGCAUUUUUAAGUACUGCAAAAUUCUGGGACUUGGGAUCAUCUGUUACUACAGACUUGUCAUAUUCCACUGAAAUAAAACAUAUAGUCUAAUUUGCAAAGUUCUCGUGUGGAAAGAGUCCUAAAAUGUAUAUAACCUCUGUCCCAGCAAUUCCAUUAGGAAUUUAUCCAAUCCAAAAUCUAAAAUGCAGAAGAUCUACAUAUUGAAUGCUUAUGGCAGCAUUCUUUAAAAUUAUGAAAAUUGAAAGCAACCAAAAUCCUCAAAAACAGACUAAUGGCUAAGUAGUAUAACCAUACUAUGAAAUGUGGUAAUUGAAUAUUCAAAUUUGUGUUGUAUAAAAAAUUAAUAAUGGUAUAACAUUUGGCUAUAAAAUAGAAUGAAUUCAAUUGUAUUUUUUAAACCAGUACAUCUGCAUAUUUGUGAACCUAAAAGAUAAGACGGUAAAUAUUUAACUGUAUUUUUCUUUAAUUGUUGGGGCUGUGAAUUAUUUUAAUUUUCUUAAUGCUUUUUAAUCUUCUCUGAA